AUUGAACGCUGGCGGCAUGCCUUACACAUGCAAGUCGAACGGCAGCACGGGAGCAAUCCUGGUGGCGAGUGGCGAACGGGUGAGUAAUAUAUCGGAACGUGCCCAGUCGUGGGGGAUAACGUAGCGAAAGCUACGCUAAUACCGCAUACGAUCUAUGGAUGAAAGCGGGGGAUCGCAAGACCUCGCGCGAUUGGAGCGGCCGAUAUCAGAUUAGGUAGUUGGUGAGGUAAAGGCUCACCAAGCCGACGAUCUGUAGCUGGUCUGAGAGGACGACCAGCCACACUGGGACUGAGACACGGCCCAGACUCCUACGGGAGGCAGCAGUGGGGAAUUUUGGACAAUGGGCGCAAGCCUGAUCCAG
rnacentral:rRNA from 1 species